CCGGUGAUCCCUGUAAACCGGAGGCCCUCCCUCCUGCCUCUCAGACGUAAUGUGUGGAUCAGAGAGAGGCAGACGCACAGUCGGUGGAGAGUUGGACUCGGACGGAAGUGAUGACAGUGAAAAUAAGGCAGUGGGGCACACUUUGAAGAAAUCGCAUCAGUCCGGAAUCAAGGGGAGAGUGAAUGCUGCUGUAGGACAAGCAGGAGGGCGGAGAAAAUGAUGUAAGUAUACCUAAAAGUAAUAUCAAAUAUGCGCUUCAAUCGGGGAAAGUGUUAAAUCUGUGCAAUCUGGUGCUGAAUAGUGAACACAAAUGUACUUCUUUAUUAUUAUGAGUUAACUGAAGCAGUUUUUUUCAGUCUUUGGUGAAUUUGCACGUGGAUUUAAUGUUAGACUGUGGCGCUCUGUGUGGCUACCAGUAAUGCGUUGCUAAAAAUGAGCGCAUGUGGAUCAAAAAAGCGUCUCCUUCAUCGCGCUUUUCAGAAGGCCAUCCGUGUGUCUCGAGGGAAAAACGUGAUUCCCGAAUGGCGUGUUCAACCUUUUUACGCACACAGCAACUUUUAUUCUGUUUAGCGAGACGCAUCGAUGGUACACAGUGUACAGACAAACGUUUGGUUCCGUCGUUUGGAAAGUUUGAACAGCCGGUACAGCCCAGAGGAAUCCAGCGAGGAGCCUCCCAAACAAUAUAACUUUGAUUCAUUUCACUCAGCACACAGUCUCCUGUUUCUUUCGGCUCUGAAACACUUGAUAAAUGGUGGCUAUUAUUUUUCAGCUGAACAAUGCGCACCGCCUUUGUGCGGACCAUCUGUCAUUGUAUCGAUAUUACAGCAGCUCUCCUGCCCUGGAAGAAUCCAAGCAAGACACCUGAAGAGUAAAGAAAAAAAAAAGAAAAAAAGAAAAGAGACAGCGACCAUUUAGAGCCGCCACCCGUCUCUCCUCGCGCCGUGACUCAUGAUGAGAUCCGUCUGUGUGUGUGGAUGAUGAGUGCGUAAUGCAACCGGAAAAUGAACAAAUCAAGCCGGUAACAUUAAAAUGUUUAAUGUUUCACGUACAACAAUCACUAUGAAUGGAUGUAUGUGUUUAGUUCUUAAUAUGUAGACAUGGAUGUGCAUUUAUGAACGCAGGUUGCACGCAUUGCUUUACGCAUCCUGAAUUCUCGGAAACAGUCUUUGCGCAUCUGACUUCCUCCCGGAAUUAGGGCCUCCAGCACAUGGCAAAAUCAGCCAGACUGCCAUUUUUAGGAUGGGCAGUCUGAGGGGGAUGCACGCUAGCCACAUACUUACACUUGAUCAUUUUCUGUGCAUGCUCAGUUUGAGGCAACGAUGGCCUGAUGUGGCACUCAGUUCAGAACCUGCAGGUAGUUAAAUGCAGCUGAGACAGGCUUUCUUUAAAGAGACUUCAGCUGCAGCGUGCAGAGCCAAGCACUAAUAUACCUUCAGGUUAAUGAGGGAGACUACAUAAAUUGUUGUACCAUUUGGAUAUAGGAGGUCUAGACGCCUUGUACUGCACUACUUUUUGCUGGCUGUUGGCUGUUCAGAGUGUGUUAAGGACGUGAUGGCUCUUGAAUAAUAAAAUAAAAUGUUUUCAAGCUUUCAGAUGUUCAAACGCAUAGACUCAAAGAUGCAUAGCGAAUGAACAGUGCUGAUAGGUCUUGAUGCUCUGAUAGCCUCACUUCUGUCACUUCAGUCCCCCCCCAGCAACCUUCUGCUCUCUCUCAGCAAAGAGCAACAUUUCUCCAAGUCCUCGUCUCCUGUAGGGCGCUGUUACAUUUUCUAUUCACUCUCACACAGUGAACACACAGUGAACGUUCGGGCCACUGUCACCCUGAGUCUGUCCUCUAGGCACAGGGUUAGUUUGGAUGCUGGCGUAUCUUAUCUCCUUGCUGGAACUAUGAUCAUCACUCCUGUGCAGCUCAUUAUCACAUGUGAGGGUUUCAUCAGCUGCACCCUGCCAUUACACUGAGCUGCAACCUGCUUUCACAGCGGAGAGGCUCUCCAACCGCAGAUGCACAUCCGUGGAUCCACAGUUACAGUGACUUGUUGUGUCUUUCUCAACAGAGAACACUACAAAUUGGAAAAUAGAGUUCCUGUAGCUUUUGUUAGUCAGUGGAAAUGUGAUGUUAAUGUUAGCAGCAGGGAGUCUCAUCAUACUUCUCCCACCGUCACAUGACUCCCAGCAGAGGCCCGACUAAUUCUCUCAGGCGAGGUUGAAACGAAGAGGAACAAAAAUGCCCCCACAUGUUCUUUGGCUUAAUUCUUAUCGAUUAAACAUUUGUAAAGUUUCAUACAUUAUCAUUGGAGACAAAACAAGAAGCUUUUAAUCUUUUCUUGUUUUUAAAUUGCACAUCUAUACAACUAUGCAGCUCCUCUCAAAGCAGCUGCACUUCACAUACUAGUGCGAUGUGUUCAUGCUUUACAGGUGAAUGGAUUCAGGGUGAACGAGUUCACAGCAGCAGGAGGAACCUGUGUCCAUAUGUGCAUGUUUGAACUUCUGUGUGUGUGAGUGUGUGUUGGGUAAGUGGAGAGCGUGAGGUAAUGCACGCUGCCCCAGGCACAGCAGCAUACUGCCCAUCUAAAUGAGUGGAUGACCUCCGACCUCUUGUCUAGCCAAAGGCUCAGGUCUGCUCGGGUCAAACCAGGUGGCUUUCAAGAACGUAUUGGCCUGCUAUAGGGAGCACAUGACACUUGAACUCUUUUCACUUCAGGAGGAAAGGCGGUCUUUUGGUUAAUUAAGGAACUCUUGGGUGUAGGCGUGUGUAUGUGUGUGUGUGUGUGUGUUUUGUGUUAGGGGGAGUUAGAAGUUUAAAAAAAAAUGAAAGAGGGUAGGGAAACCUUUUGAAACCAUUUAAAUUAAGGAUCUCUGCUUUCUAGAAUAACAUCGGACAUUUAUCCGAACAGUUAGAUGCUUUGUACGCUCCUUUGAUCAGGAAGUUGUCAUACCUUCUCAACAAUUAAGAUGUAGAAAUAACAGUUAUUCUGGUAAGCUGUCAGACAAAGAUCCAGGUCCACCAUCAGCGCUCGGUCUCAGCUUGUUCAGGAGAUGUUCCAGCUGUUGUGAGUCCACUUUAAUUUCAACGUAAAGAAACGGUGUAAGACAAAAACAUUGCAUUAGUCCUGAUCUUGUCCCAGCUGAGAGAAAACAGCCUGUCUCAAUUCUGUCCCAACAUGCUCUCUAUUGUAUCGCCGUGCAAGAAACUCCCCAUGGAAAUUUUGGAAUCUUUCCCAUUGUUCCUAAAGGAAAGGGGGGCUUUCAUAUGGAAGUGGGGAACGCCAGGAAAUGACAGGCAUUCUUUGCACUAUUUGAAAAUAAACCCCUCGCUUCCCUCUCGAACAGCUAAGCAGAAAGUAGAAAUAAGACUAGAGGAUUAAGAAUUCCUCACUGCUGUUUUUACUUUCUUACAUUUCUUGCAAUUUGUCUCAAAAGUAUGUUUUCUUAUUCAGCGCAGUGUAGAUGUGCAAUGAUAGUUUCAGCAAAAUAAAAGAGAAAAAGGAAAAAGCUUUUGUCCAGGCCUUUUUUUUUUCCAACUGCUUCCUUGAAUGGCCGCCUUCUUAUUUUCCUCUAUAUUUGUCCUUAUUUUGCCUUAUCUCUCCCCCCCUGGCUUUAAGCACAAGGCCGCUGCUUAAGCUUGGCUUUAUGAAGUGUGACAGCGAGGUCUGGAGGCCGAGGCUGGAACCUAAAAGCUUUACAUUCAGCCGGCUGCGGUCAGGUUUGGGGUGGACUUAAACUCACUUCACCCCUAUACAGUACCUCGUGUACAGAAAGUGCCUUCUUUCUGCUGAGCUGGCAUGAAAGUGCAGAAUUGUAGGCAGGAAAAAAAGUCAGAUGGGCCUUUUUUAACCUUGAAUUUUUUUAAUUCUAAUUGCAUAUGAGCAGUUUUUUUUUAAAGCCAUUUCAAUAAGGAGGAAGUAAAAGGACUUAUGCUUCAAGAAAAGUCCGGACAGAAGGUUGAUUUCAGGUUUCUAAACUCUAAUAUUACAUCAAUCUUUUCUUUAAACCAACCUUUUUUUUUUCCAAAGAAAGUUUGGUACCAGGUGUUCACAUUUCUGCUGCUCUCUACAACUUCCUUCUUCCUUCUUGUGAGGUUUAAUAACAGGUUUAAUUCAAUCAGCUCUUCAGUUUUAGCUGGUCAGUCCAGCUGUACCUUUAGUCCAAAACCAACACCUUACCCCCCCUCUGCUCUUUCCGUCUCUCUUCUUCCUCCUCCUCCUCCUCUUGUCGUUUUUCCCACCAGGCCAGCAGUAGUUCUCAGGUAUUUGACCAGUGUAGUGUAGCUGGGAGGCUGGCUGCUCUGUCCUGUGUGAGACAAAGGCAGCAUGCCUGAAGGAGAAGGAUGAAAGGAAACGGGGCUGUGCAGCCACUCCUUUUUACAAUGGGAAACCUCCUCAGUUGGGUUGUAGAGCAAAUAACAACCUCUUCUCUUCCUUUUUUUAACAAGCACUGAGUCUGUGACAGUGUGUCUCUUCUUUUUGUUGUGGGACGGGAGGCGCUGUCGUGUGUGUGUGUGUAUAGAUGUGAGUUUGUGUGUGCGUACGCAGAAGAAAGGGUGACCGGUGUGUUUACAUGAAAUGAUUUUACGCUUUCUGUUUCCUACACCUGCUUGAGCAGACAGAUGGUGCCUCUCUUGUUAAAUAAGCCUUCUGGAUUUAGACUUAAUUUUUUUCUGUGGUGGUUUUUGUUGUUAAGAUAAUGAUACACAUUUUUCAAAAUUUUAAUUUUGCACAUUUUCAAAAAACUAAUAACUUAAGUAUUAUUCUUUCCUAUGUGGAUGUAAAAAAAAAAAAAAGAAGAAUUAUUCCGCUUAGAAUUAUAAAAUAACAACAAAAUUUGGAGACUGAGCCCUUAAAAUAACAAGUGAAAACAAUUUUUUCUUUUUUCUUUUUUUUUUUUUUUUAAGUUCUUGAUUUUAGAUGUUUUCUUCAGUAUGUAAAACAUUUAGCUGUAACUCAAACUGUUUAAUACAUAAAUCUGCUGGGUUAGAAAUCAGUGAAGGCACCACAUUUUAUAGAUUCUAUAAAGUUCUCUAAAACGUAAGGAAAAAUUAAAUAAAAAAAUUUGCAAGGCGGCAUGUAUCAUGACAUUGAAUUUUAGUGAGUUGGUAUCAUUGAAAAAUAUCAUGUAUUCACACACUCGUACAACAUAACCAUUAGACAAACUACUGGUAGAGAGUGUUCUGUCUUAUCAAGGAUUUUCCAGUCACAUGGAUUUAAUUCAGUGUCACUCCAACCUUUUUCCAGAUGAUUUAAGCCACGCACACUUGUGUAGUUUUGUGUGUCUGUCUCCUCUGACCCAGUGGCGCUUAGUCUUGUGUUAUCUUCUGUGGUGGUAGCCAGGGGGAGGGAGCAGAAGCCGCAGGAGUCUUUUAUGGCUCCUGCUCCAGAGACAACCUGUUCUCAGGCACCUCUCUUCUGGCACUUUUUUAUGACAUCAUAAAUUCCUCCAUUUCCUCUGACCAGCCCUAGGUGGGUAUAAAGGACAUACCUGGCCAGUAAUUGUCUGUCUGGCCCUCUCAUCUGUCAGUCUCCUUUCGGCUGCUGGUGACUUCCUCCAGAGACUCUCAGACUGCCUGAAGAUACUCUCCUCUCGCAGAUCUGUACUGAGGACCAAUAAAAACUUCAGUUUAUUUGAUGACCGACAGGACAGAGAGGGCUUUUCUGGAGUGUGGUUUUUCUUAGACGCCUUUUACUGAAUCUUUGUUGGUCAUUUAGGCCGGUGAGGAGAGCCAGCCCUGACACCCACGCUAGUGGACUUUCUGCGUGCGUAUGCACUUCAGACCAGAAACAACCAGCCCUCAGACCUGUUGAUACCUUUUGUUUGUUGAAGUCUGAGGAUGAGGAGCAGAAAAAAAGGAUUAGGGAAGAAAGGAGAGAUUUUUUUUAGGUGGAGGGUUGUGGGGGCGUAAAGAGAAGCCCUCAGGAACCUUCAACGCUCACAUUCAUCUGAUGCACGGCUGGGUCUCCUCAGGGAGGCUGGAACAAUACACGCACCAGCACGACAACAUUCCUGGGGGUUAGAAAGGUCAGGGGUCACCUAACGACCCCACCCUGCCAAUCAGGCCCAAGGCUCUACCUCUGCACUUUUGUUUUUGCUUUAUGUCUUCGCACUUGUUGAACAGACUCUGCACCUUGUGUUACAAUCUGCCCUUUGCUCUCUAAUAGACUGGACAUGCAUGAAGCGCUUUCACUAUUCUAUUACAUCUUCUAAAUCAGUUUGUUCUGGGUUUUCAAUGGAGAAAAAUGAACUGUUUUCUUUCAUUGUUAUAUAAUUUCAACAGAGAGUCUACAAUUAGAAGCUGCAGAGCCUUUCAAAUUAAAUUAGACUCUUUGGUUAGACAAUAAACCUUUUUUAUGUCUGUAGCCGAUGUCUCAUAUAAUAUCCCUGCCAGAUGUUUGGCAGACCCAUAUACUAGCAAAAGCAGCCCAAACUAUAAUUACCCAUAUUUUUAUUUAAAUGGCCACUUUAUAAAAAUGAACCCAUGAGGGUCAAAUAUUACACAGAGGGUCCUCAAAGUCAUAUUUUUCCUUCCUUAUGAAAAUCUAGAUUCAUUUUUUCCUUAUUCUCAUGAACACCACAGCGUACUUCAAAUAAAGUCUGAAGGCUGCCAUUAAAGUGGAGCAUAUGCAUGUGUAGGCAUGUGAGUGGCGUGUGAGGCCCCUGCAGGCAGGCAGACAGCAGGUCUGUUAGUCAUUACGUCUGAAUGUACAGUAUACACUGGAGUGGACAUGCAGCUACAUUAAAGCCUCGCCCACGGCCACAUCAGACCACCCCAGAGACACACCGCUGGCACUUCCUCCUCCAACCGCCUCUGUCGCUCUGCCUUUGGGGUCGAGGCUGGUGGGUGUAAGGGGCAGAGGGUUUGGGGAUUUCCGGAGGAUGUGCCUGAUAUUAAUCGCUGGUUGAUUAGGAAGUUUCAUGUGAAAGUCUGAUAGACAGAGUGUAUGUAAGGUUGUAAAAUCCGAACGCGAGUGUGGUUUUUUUAACUGUUUUGUGAUCUGCUUUUGUCUUCUGUCUUCAGGUUUCCCUUUGUGCCGUCUGAUGUGACCCCCUGAAGAUCAUUCCCAUCAGGUAUACCCCACAACAUCAUUAAAACAUCUCCACAUAACACUCAAACUUUCUCCUUCACUGGUUAUUCUCGGUGUGUCACACUCCUUCUCCUCUUUCUCGGAGCUGAAGCAUCACAGAAAGUCGACUAUAAACCUCCUAUAUUUCCUCCCGCAUGCUAAAUCGGCUUACGGUUAGAUGGAAGGAGACGUCACUCUGCAGUAUAAAAAAAAA